rnacentral:tRNA from 1 species
GCCCAAGUGGCGGAAGGGUAGACGCAGGGGAUUCAAAAUCCCCCGGGGGAAACCCCGUGUGAGUUCGAAUCUCACCUUGGGCACCA